UCCUUCGACACACAGCAGCGGAGCGGCGGAAAUCUCUCUCCACCUUCGGCCUUUCCUUGCUCCCUCUCUCUCAGUUUUCUUCUUCUUCUUUUCCUUCUCCUUCUUCUUCUCAGAUCCACCGAAAAGGAAUACACUAUUCAUCUUCUCCCUCCCUUCGACAUAGAGCGGUGGCAGCAAGAAAGAGGAGCACUGGUCAUCGGCGGCAUCCCCAUCUUCUACCAGAUUUGGUGGAGGUCUGACGUUCAGCAUUGCCUAUCAUCCCUCCACCGUUAUCUGAUGGUUUCCUUUUUUGUCUCUCGAUCCGGGCAUUUAGUGGAAGAUCGAUAUCUCCCAUGUUCCACGAGCCUCAUUUCGAGUCCAAAAAACCUCAGAAGUCACUGCUAGUUCACCCACACUAGGAAGGAGUUGCUCGACCUCUGUAAUCUCCCAUCAUCACCUACAAGGCACACCAAACUCAUCUGAAUCUCUCCCGUUCACAACAUCAAAUUGCCGGCUGGUACAUCAUUUAGAACGGUUAGAUAUGUCAGGAUGAAUGUUGUUAACGGCAAUGGACACUCGUUCAAUUCUGUUCUUGACUUUGCUGGUUAUGCUUUCUUGAUUUUACUGAUUAUGGAUUCAGAUGUAAGCUUAUUUGGUGUUACUUCUAUGCGUGUUUUCUUUCUUUUCUUAUGGGUUUAUCGGUUGGGUAGUAGAAGUUUGUACUAUUAACUGUGCUGGAAAUGUGUUCAACAUGAGUUCCACAA